GAAUCUGGCUGUCGUGAUGCCUAAAAAGCAUUGCAUAGCAAGGGCCGGGCAAGACCGGUGCCAGCCGCCGCGGUAACACCGGCGGCUCGAGUGGUAACCGUCAUUAUUGGGUCUAAAGGGUCUGUAGCCGGCCGGAUAAGUCUCUUGAGAAAUCCAGCAGCUCAACUGUUGGGCUUUCAGGAGAUACUGUUCGGCUCGAGGCCGGGAGAGGUGUGAGGUACUUCAGGGGUAGGGGUGAAAUCUUGUAAUCCUUGAAGGACCACCAGUGGCGAAGGCGUCUCACCAGAACGGACCUGACGGCAAGGGACGAAAGCUAGGGGCACGAACCGGAUUAGAUACCCGGGUAGUCCUAGCCGUAAACGAUACUCGCUAGGUGUCGGCCACGGUGCGACCGUUGUCGGUGCCGUAGGGAAGCCGUGAAGCGAGCCACCUGGGAAGUACGGCCGCAAGGCUGAAACUUAAAGGAAUUGGCGGGGGAGCACCACAACGGGUGGAGCUUGCGGUUUAAUUGGAUUCAACGCCGGAAAUCUUUCCGGGACCGGCAGCAAUAUGAAGGCCAGGCUGAAGACUUUGCCGGAUUAGCUGA
rnacentral:rRNA from 1 species